UAGUAAGAGACAGUCAGGAUUUAAACAUGAGCCAAAUGACUGCAGUGCCCACAGUGUGAACUCCUCUGCCACACUGGGCUUGGGACCUGACACUGUCUGCCAUGACAGCAUGACUGGAGCUGGCUCCUUCAGGCCUUUGAGCUGCAGGUGCAGGAAAGAACAGAAAGCAACAUUAAGAAACAGAUGUAUACUCACCAGCGAGUUCUCUUAAACUGGAACAUCUUGCCAUAUUAGCUACAAAGGAGUUUAAAGAAAUGAAACGUUGUAGAUAGAGUUGAAGCCUGCAUUGUAACAACAGUAACAACAGAUAACCAUGAAUCCCUUGAGAUGUGCUGGACACUUCACAAAUAUUGAUCAGCUCAUUCAAUCCCUGCAACUGUUUGAGUUGGUACAAAGAAUAUUCUUGUCUCCUUAUAAACAUUUGUAAGUGUUUCCACCAUGCAGUGUUUCUCAACAGUAGCUGUACACUAAGGAAGAAUUUAAAAAUGAACAUACCUGCAGGCACCACACCUGGACAAUCUAAUUUCAUUAAUCUGUUUUUUGUUUGGUUUGGUCUGGUUUAAUUUCUAGCUUGCCUGGCAAUUCUAACGUGCAUUCAGGUUUCAGAACCAUUACCUCAAGCAAUGUAAUUCCACAUGGAAUUACAGGAUCUUCACAUUUCAUCUAUAUGACAAAAUUGCCCUUUAAUGGACCAGUUCAUACCACUAUCAAUGGUAUGUGAGGACCUGUACUUAUUGCCUCCCUUUUGGUUCUUGAUGUUGUAAUUCAUGCUCAUGCUCUUACUUUCUCUGAUUGGAACUGCUAGAAAAUUGCUCAUUUUAUUAAUAUUUCCAAAGAAUAACUUUUGGCUUUGAUUUUCCACUGUUGUACAAUUUUUCCUUUUUCAUUGAUUUUGGUUCUUUAUUUUUUCAUUUCCUCUUCUAUGCUUCCUUUUUUUUUUUUUUGAGAUGGAGUCUCACUCUGCCUCCCAGGCUGGAGUGCUGUUAUGCGAUUUUAGCUCACUGCAACCUCUGCCUUCUGGGUUCAAGUGAUUCUCCUGCCUCAGCCUCCUGAGUAGCUGGGACUGCACACUUGUGAACAUGGUCUCUGAGCCUCAUAUUGCUUUACUUGUGAGAUAUAUAUAUAUAUAUAUAUAUUUUUUUUUUUUUUUUUUUUUUUAGUAGAGACAGGGUUUCACCAUAUUGGCCAGGCUGGUCUUGAACUCCUGACCUCAAGUCAUCCGCCCAUCUCAGCCUCCCAAAGUGCUGGGAUUACAGGCAUUAGUUACCAUGCCUGGCCUAUGCUUCCUUUUGUUUUCCAUUUUUCUAGCUUUUCUUUUUUUUUUUUUUUGAGAAGAAUUAGAUAAAUUUUUUUUAAGUUUUCUCCCUUUCUAAUGUAUGCAUUUGAAGCAAUAUAUUACUCUCUAGGGACUGCUUUAGUUGCACUGCAAAAAUUUUGUUAUGCAAAACCUCUUAUCUUUAAUGUUCAGUUCAAAAAGUUUCUAUUUGCUGUGAUGGUUUUUUCUGUGACUCAUAGAUUAUUUAAAAGUGUAUUGCUUAAUUCACAAGUAGUUGGUGAUUUUAAAAUUCUCUAAGUAAGUAUUUCUAUCUUAAUUUUACUGUGAUCUGAGAAUACAAUGUGAAUAGUUAUAAUUCCUUGAACUUUACUGAGGUUGACUUUGCAACCCAUUAUAUGGUCAAUUUGGAGACAUGUUCAUGUACACUUGGCCAAUAAUAUGGUCCAUGCUGGGCGCAGUGUUCAAUGUGUCAAUUAAUUUAAGUUUGUCAUUUUGUUUUGGUUUUCUUUAUGUAUAUUUUUCCCGUUUGAUCUAUCUGCUGCUGUGAGAAGUGCGAAAUGUUCCUAUCAUUGUGAAUUUCUUUAUUUCUUCUUUUGGCUCUGUCAGUUUUGCUGUGUCUGUCUUGAAGCUAUAUACAGAUUCAGAAUUCUUAUUUCUUCCUGAUAAUUUGACCCCUUUUUCAUUAUGUAAAUGUUCCUUUUCUUUAGCAGUGUUAUUUUGCCUUAAACUCCACCUGAUAAGUAGUACAUGUAGCUAAACCAGUUUUCUUUUGGUUAAUAUGGACAUGGUACGCAUGUUCUAUCCUUGUAUUUUGUAUAUUUCUGUAUCUUUAUAAUAAUUAUAUGACUCUUGUAAGCAUAAAAUGUUGUUCAAAUUGCUUUUAUAUCUAAUCUGAUGAUCUCAGGGUUUUAAUUGAAAUAUUUAAUACAUUUGCAAUUAAACUAAGCAUGAAUAUACUUGAAGUUCAAUCAAUCUUCUUAGUAUUUGCUUUCUAUUUGAUUCAUCUAUUUAUUGUAUAUUCCUAUUUCUCUUCUUCUCUUGGCCUUUCUUUAGGUUAACUAUCCUUUAGAUUAUUCCCUUUAUCCCUCUAUUAAGUUGUUAUAUAUUUGUUACUAUUCUUUAGUGGUUACCCAGUGAUUAGAAUGUGGAUCCUUGAUCUAUUGUAGUCUAAAAUGACAGAAAAUCAUGAAUGUAAUAAUCACAAUUUGAGUAUCCCAAGGUCCUAGCUCUAUGAGGGAACUGGGAAAAGGAAUAGUUUGUACUAGAUUUGUAGUAAGUCAAGGAUGUGUGCAGUAACCAUUAAAAUGCUAAAAGGAAACACAUACUGUCCUAUAAUUCCAAGUCCAGCAAAAGUAACUUCAAAGAUGAAAGCAAAAUAAAAAUACCUCAGGUAAAAUCAAGAGCUAACUUAAUAUCGGUAUACCUGCACUAAACACCAAAGGGUGCUCUUUGGGCAGAAGAAAAUGAUCCAAGAUUACAAUAUGGAAAUGCAGGAUAGAAUGAACAGCCAAAGUUUCAUAUAAAUGUAGAACUGAAAUUCCUAAACACAAUACUGCAAAACACGGGGUGGGGGGGUGGCGGGUGGGCACACCCCCACCACUUAAAACAGAGAAUUUUAAGUUUCUCUGUUUAUGGGGAAGUAGAAUGCAAAUAAUUUAGCAUUUUAGCUCUCCAGGUCAUACAGCUUCAGAAUUCAGCAAAUGUCUUGAGCAGAGCAGUGCUUUCAGGAAAGGGUCAGAUAGUAAACACUCGAGGCUUUGCAGGCCAUGUGGUCUCUGCUGAAGUCCGCUGUUGCAGCAUGGAAGCAGACACGGACAAUCUGUAAAUGCAUUGACAUGGCUGUGUUCCAGCAUCACUGACUUGAAAUGCCAUGUUUGGUAGAUCUGGUUUGGUGUAUAUAUAGUGCUUAUAUCUGAGUGUGUCUAUUUCUGGAAUGCAAAACUGUGUCUUUGGACUAUUUGUUUAUAUCUCAGUUAUUAUGGCUUAAAAUUAAUCUUUAUAUCUGUUAGAUAAAAUCCUCCGACUUGUUCCUCAAAAUUGUCUGAGCUAUUCUUAACUUUUUGCUCUACCGUGUGUAUUUUAAGACCAGUUUUGCCAAGUUCCUAAAAAGCCCUGCAGGGCUUUUCAGGGGUAAUGGAAGUCUUGGUUGGGGUGAUGGUUACACCUGAUCUAGAUGUUUGUCAAAACUCAUCAUACUGCACACUUGAAAAUGGGUACAUUUGAUUUAAUGUAAGUUAAAUCUUAAUAAAAUUGAUUUUAG
rnacentral:lncRNA from 10 species